UCCCUGGUGGUUCAGUGGUUAGGACUCUGUGCUGACACCACUGAGGUCCCAGGUUCAAUCCCUGGUUGGGGAA